AGAGUUUGAUCAUGGCUCAGGACGAACGCUGGCGGCGCGCCUAACACAUGCAAGUCGAGCGAGAACCAGGGCUUCGGCCCUGGGGACAGCGGCGAACGGGUGAGUAACACGUGGAUAACCUGCCCUCGGCGCCGGAAUAGCCCGGGGAAACCCGGAUUAAUGCCGGAUAGCCCCACAUCCCUGCGGGGAACGUGGGAAAAGGUAGCUUCGGCCUCUGGCCGAGGAUGGGUCCGCGGUGGAUUAGCUUGUUGGUGCGGGUAAUGGCCCACCAAGGCGACGAUCCAUAGCUGGUCUGAGAGGACGAUCAGCCACACUGGGACUGAGACACGGCCCAGACUCCUACGGGAGGCAGCAGUGGGGAAUCUUGCGCAAUGGGCGAAAGCCUGACGCAGCGACGCCGCGUGCGGGAAGAAGGCCUUCGGGUUGUAAACCGCUUUCAGGAGGGACGAAGCCACUCGGGUUAAUAGCCCAGAGGGUGACGGUACCUCCAGAAGAAGCCCCGGCUAACUACGUGCCAGCAGCCGCGGUA
rnacentral:rRNA from 1 species